rnacentral:lncRNA from 1 species
CAGGUUAGUGCAGGUGACCUUGGCAUCUCUGUUUUUCUUUGGCAUUCAUUCGUUCUUUAUCUACUGAAUGAUCAGUAGACCUUUUCUACCUCACAAUUUUAGAAGUACUUUGCAGUAUGUGAUUAGGAAUGUAACAGGGGCUCUUGUUUCUGUCACUGUCUCUAAUCUGUGAAUAUGGGCUAUCCUUUAGUUUCUUCAGAAUGCUAACUUAUUCUGGGUAAGCCGUCACAAAUAUCCUCAUUUCCAUCCUAUGUCAUUGGUGUUAGCACAAGAGGAACAAAAUAAAGAAAAUGGAAGGCUUUAAAAAGGAAAAUAUCUGCUACUUAGUUUAUGCUUGGUCCCUUACUUAAAAGAACUGAAAAUCUGAAUUUCACCUACUGGUCAUCCUCUGUAUGCUGUUAAAGGAUCAUGUAGACAUUUUUGGAGUUGCAUAUAUGUGAUGGACAUGGGAUUAUCUAACAUAAAGAAUUUAUUAAUAUUAUUGAAAAAUGCCACCUAAUUUUCUAGUGAGAUCAGGGGCAGCACGUAAACACUUGUAAUGUCAAAUGAUAUCUAAUGGGCUAGGACAUCUACUUGUGAAAUGACAGCAUUCUGCAAUUUGAGACAUUUCUCUGGAUUUAAGUUUUAUGAUCACAAACUAUAUAAGUGAUUAUUAUUAUCUGAUAUUUCUUUUGCAGAUUGUUGGACAUCCACCCCUCAUGUGAAGCAGUGGUAUAUUAAUCAACUAAUUUACUUGAGAUUUGUUCUACUUCCGGAAGUUUGGCCUGGGAAAUUGAAAUUAUUCUCUAUUUUUAUCAUAUACUAAGCUGUCUUUUCAACCAACUCAUUAUUGUUUUAUGGUCUUAGUUCUUAUUUCAAAACUGUUGCAACAGACUUAUUUAUUUUGGUUUUUCAUUGCUGUGAAUGAGCAUGCAACCUAUUCGAUCUUGAAAUAUUGUGAGACUGUGUUACUACCAUGACUAAAAGACUGUGUUACUACCAUGACUAAAAUAUCUCCCAGUUAAUUAGAAAUUUUAUUCUAGAAAAUUUGGAUGGAGUUAACAAGUCUUUCCAUUAUUAGGAUCCUCAAGAAUAGAGGACGUAACUGGGCCGUAACCUGACACUUUUAAUUAGAUCACUGCUACUGUCUGGAAGCAAUUUUCAUUGUUCUUUUUUUUUUUUCUUUUUUUCUUUUUUUGGUAUCGAAUCGAACUAUUUAUUUUCAAAAAUGCAAUUUUUCUAUAAGGGUUUUUCGUUGAAAAUUGUAUGGAUUUAGCAUCAACUUGUUUCUCUGUGGGGAUACCUUUCCCUGUAUGCCCCCGUUUCUCUUAAUGCAGUCUUC